AGGUUAAGCUAGAAAGGGCGCACGGUGGAUGCCUUGGCACUAGGAGCCGAUGAAGGACGGGGCAAACGCCGAAACGCUUCGGGGAGCUGUAAGCAAGCGUUGAUCCGGAGAUGUCCGAAUGGGGGAACCCACUGUCCG
rnacentral:rRNA from 1 species